rnacentral:miRNA from 1 species
AGUUUCCAUUUGACGAAAACGGAAAUCCAGUGUAUGAGCUUAAUGAUAAGAACUGGAAAUCCUUUUUCUCAAGGACGUGGUC